rnacentral:tRNA from 1 species
GCCCGCCUAGCUCAAUCGGAUAGAGCGUCAGACUUUUAACCUUAACUGAGUAAGCUAGCGAGGGAAUCAGCAUAUACUUGAUCAAAUCUGAAGGCUGCGAGUUCGACCCUCGCGGUGGGCU